rnacentral:ncRNA from 1 species
UCGUCACAACGGCUUCCUGGCGUGACGAGCGGUAUCAACGGAGCA